AAGAAUUUAGUUAAACUAUAACGUUAGCUUGUCAAGCUAAAAUUAUUACCAAAUAAUAAUUUUUA
rnacentral:tRNA from 1 species